rnacentral:rRNA from 1 species
GACGAACGCUGGCGGCGUGCUUAACACAUGCAAGUCGAACGGAAAGGCCUGCUUUCCCUUGUGGAUUGCGGGUACUCGAGUGGCGAACGGGUGAGUAACACGUGAGUGAUCUGCCCCCAACUUGGGUAUAAGCCUGGGAAACUGGGUCUAAUUCCCGAUAGGACUGCAGGGUGGUGCCUGUGGUGGAAAACGAUUUUCUAGUGGUUGGGGAUGAGCUCGCGGCCUAUCAGCUUGUUGGUGGGGUAAUGGCCUACCAAGGCGGCGACGGGUAGCCGGCCUGAGAGGGUGGACGGCCACAUUGGGACUGGGAUACGGCCCAGACUCCUACGGGAGGCAGCAGUGGGGAAUAUUGCACAAUGGGCGGAAGCCUGAUGCAGCGACGCCGCGUGGGGGAUGACGGCCUUCGGGUUGUAAACUCCUUUCGACCGCGAGGAAGCCACCUGGUUGGAAGGGUGGUGACGGUAGUGGUAGAAGGAGCACCGGCUAACUACGUG